UGGAGUUCGGUGUCCCGUCCCCAGCCCACCUCAGAGCCUGGACGGUGGAGAGGAAGCGCCCAGGCAGGCUUUUACGAACUGACCGGCAGCCACUCAGCCCCCAGGACGUGCUGCUGAGGACACAGGUGCGCAUCCCUGGUGAGAGGACCUAUGCCCCUGCCCUGGACCUGGUGUGGAACGCGGCCCAGGGUGGGACUGCCGGCUCCCUGAGGCAGAGAGUUGCCGAUUUCUAUCGUCUUCCCGUGGAGAAGAUUGAAAUUGCCAAAUACUUUCCCGAAAAGUUCGAGUGGCUUCCGAUAUCUAGCUGGAACCAACAAAUAACCAAGAGGAAAAAGAAAAAAAAACAAG
rnacentral:lncRNA from 1 species